AAAGAAAAGCUCAGUUCUUAUGGGCCUAUAACAUGAGCUUACGGCCUUCAAUCUUUAUGGUCGCAUAAUUUCAGUUUCCUAUCGUUGUCUUCGUUGCUGUUGAGCUCUUGUUUAGGGAUCUUUGAUCCUCUCUGGGGGUUUUUACUGGUACUGUAAUAAUAUGUUCUCUUGGUUUUGAUGAAGUGAUUCCAAGUUUCCUAUGCACAAAAUAUUUGGCAAAUGGCAAAGAUGGUUUUCGGUUUCAUUGCUUCGAAACGAUCGAUAUCAACUUUGCCGCAUCUCUGUGAGAGAAUUAAACAAACAGAAAAUGAAAUAGUUCAAAUGUUUCGGUUACCCAGUCGAAAUGAUGAGAUGCAAAACUUACCCAUGAAUAGAAAAUUUUCAAGGAAUGACCCAUCCAUUAGAAAAUUGGAUGAGAGGUUCAUAAGAAUUUUGAAAAUAUUCAAGUGGGGACCUGAUGCUGAGAAGGCAUUAGAAGUGCUAAAGUUGAAAGUGGAUCAUAGAUUGGUUCGUGAGGUUUUGAAAAUAGACGUGGAGGUUCAUGUGAAAAUUAAGUUUUUCAAGUGGGUUGCGAAAAGGAGAAAUUUUGAACAUGAUUCUACUACUUAUUUCGCUUUAAUUAAUUGUUUGGAUGAAGCUGGAUUGUAUGGUGAAAUGUGGAAGAUAAUCCAAGAUAUGGUAAGGAGUACAUGUAUUAUUAGUCCUGCUGAUUUAUCUGAAAUUGUUAAAAUAUUAGGCAAGUCCAAGAUGGUGAACAAGGCACUAUCUGUAUUUUAUCAGAUAAAAGGCCGAAAAUGUAAACCAACAGCAAACACUUAUAAUUCUAUGAUCUUGAUAUUAAUGCAAGAAAGUCAUUAUGAGAAGGUUCAUGAGCUUUACAAUGAGAUGUGUAACGAAGGGAACUGUUUUCCAGACACUCUAACGUAUAGUUCACUUAUUUCAGCUUUUGGGAAAUUGGAUCGUGAUGAUUCUGCAAUAAGGUUGUUUGAUGAGAUGAAAGAGAACGGCCUUCAUCCUACUCCAAAGAUAUACACAACCUUGUUGGGAAUUUACUUCAAGUUAGAUAAGGUUGAGAAAGCCUUGGAUUUGAUACGGGAGAUGAAAGUUAAGGGCUGCACUCCAACUGUUUUUACUUACACAGAAUGGAUCAAGGGGCUUGGAAAAGCUGGGAGGGUUGAUGAUGCUUACAGUGUGUUCUUAGACAUGAUAAAAGAUGGGUGUGCACCUGAUAUUGUGCUCAUGAAUACUUUAAUUAACAUUUUGGGCAAAGCGCACAGAUUUGAAGAUGCCCUUAGGCUUUUUGGCCAAAUGGAGGCUUGGCAGUGCAAACCAAAUGUGGUAACAUAUAACACUGUCAUUAAGGCUUUAUUUGAAUGCAAAGCCCCAGCCUCUGAGGCUGCUUCGUGGUUUGAGAAAAUGAAAGCAAAUGGUGUUGCUCCUAGCUCAUUUACUUACUCAAUUCUUAUUGACGGUUUUUGCAAAACAAAUAGAGUUGAGAAAGCUUUAUUGCUUCUGGAAGAGAUGGAUGAAAAGGGUUUUCCUCCGUCCCCAGCUGCCUAUUGCAGCCUGAUCAACAGUCUUGGAAAGGCAAAACGGUAUGAAGCUGCAAAUGAAUUAUUUCUGGAGUUGAAAGAGAAUUGUGGAUGUACAAGUGCUCGUGUAUAUGCUGUAAUGAUCAAACAGUUUGGCAAGUGUGGCCGUCUUAGUGAUGCUAUUGAUCUUUUUAAUGAGAUGAAGAAACUUGGCUGUAAACCUGAUGUUUAUACUUACAAUGCACUCAUGUCGGGGAUGGUAAGAGCCGGCAUGAUAGAUGAAGCUCAUUCCUUGCUUAGAACUAUGGAAGAAAAUGGUUGCUUUCCAGACAUAAACUCGCAUAACAUUAUCCUAAAUGGCUUGGCUAGGACUGGUGUGCCAAACCGGGCAAUUGAGAUGUUCACAAAAAUGAAACAUUCAUUGAUUAAGCCGGAUGCAGUCUCUUACAACACUGUUCUUGGCUGUCUGAGCCGUGCUGGUAUGUUUGAGGAAGCUGCAAGGCUGAUGAAAGAGAUGAAUACAAACGGAUUUGAAUAUGAUCAGAUUACUUAUUCAUCAAUUCUAGAGGCAGUUGGUAAGGUUGAUGAAGAUCGUGCAUCUACUAUUUCUUGAAGGGACCUGGUAUUGUCAGAUUAGUUUUCCCUAUUUGGAAUUGUUAAUUUUACAAUACUCUUUUCUGUAGUUGAUGUGCGUCAGAAUGUAUAAACACAAAAUAGGUGUUUCUUUCUUUUUUUAUUUUUUUGGUUGGGUGUGUACAUUUCUAUACCAUAUGAUGGGGGCCAUGGGGCAGUACACUUGCAUGGGCAAAAUUAGUCUGUAAUAUCUUUUAUGAAUCACUUUCAAGUGUUGCUUGAGGUUGAGGGAGAGCAGUAAGGGAAGGAAGCAAUGGGCUGUAUGCCUUUUUUACUUAUGCUGAGAUCCACCUAUAUGACGCAGUGCUCAAUGUUGUGAUGAAAAACAACAGCGCAUUGUAAUCCUGAUGCAGCAUCAAAUAAUUCCAGCUUAUUUUGAUGCAUAAGGCGCUAGGAGACUCAUCAUCAACAAUCGGGAUCAUCAUUCUUGACAAUACAUCAUCUUGCAAUCCUAAGCGCCUGCAGGCCUAGUGUUCUCGACAAUACAUGAUAAUUAUAUGAAUGAUUCUUGCUCUUUGGCUUCAUCUCCAGCCUAGAAGUGAUGUAUUAGAUAGUUGAAUUGACAGGCUUUUAACAGUACUAGGUCUUUAUUACUCGCCAGAACUUGCUGGACCAUUGGAAUCAAAGCAAUAGAAUUUCGACACCUUACGUGACUGACUGAAAGGGAGAGAAGAACCUCUUUUUCUUCGAGCUUCAGAUGGCAUGGCUCAUUCCAAAUUCAAAAGUACACCAGGCACUGGAAUAGAACGGGAAUCUUGCUCGUCUUCGUUUCUCGUUGAACUAAAGGAUUACGAACAAAUACAGUUGUGUAUAUCCAAAAGAAUUGGGAUAAUUUGCAGAAGUUAACUUUUCAAGUCUGUUUUUGGACAGCAUGGGCACAUUCUCAUGGUUCGAAUUGAGAUUAGAGGGUUGAAUGUAUCGUGAAAACCUACACAUUGGGACUUGCAUAUUGUCAAACAAAAUUAUAUAAUGUGAAGAAACAGAUAAAACAAAUGUGAAUUCUGUAUUUCCGUUUGCCGAUUUGAUUUAGCUUUCAUUUGUUGGAAUGGAAAUGAAAUUUGAAAGACA